UUUACUUUUUUUUUAAGGUUAUGUGGGCAAAAAAUUUGUAAUUACAAUAUUUUGUCAUGUAAGUAGUUCACUAAAUUUGCCUUAAUUGCCAAGAGUGGCAUGCUUUUCCUACCUUGUUGCGGGAAUCAGGUGUGAGUUUAUACAUGUAUGUAUAAUGUAUGUAUAAUACACAGAUAAAAACUGCUUCUGCUUUGCAAUUUCUAGAUGGAUUACUCUCCAUCGGAACCAGAAAAAUAUUGUUUAAUUCUUAUCAUGCAGUUCCUUAUUAUGGUAUUGCCUGGACCCUGCCAAAGCCGAUGUGUGAACAGUUCAACUGUCGCAUGUGACUCUGGUCAGGAACAUUAUCACACUCCGUGUAAGUUGUGUGAUCCCAUGGCCGCACAACCAAGGGUUGAGUGUAACAAUCUAUCAUUAUUCAGAUUCAUUUAUAUGAACAUUGUUAUUUCAAAUUUUAAUUCUAAAAGUUGAUUGUUACAGCUCCUCCAUUAUUGUAGACGAGGAUAAAUUAGGGGAACACUUAUUGGAUUCAUUUUACGAAUGCAAACAAGCCACAAGAACACAAAUUGACUAUUUGGUACACCAGGUUUUAAUUAGAAACUAUCACAUCAAUUAU